rnacentral:rRNA from 1 species
AUGUUACAUGAUAAAGAUGAGGUCAAUCCAAGCUCAAGUGACAAUAGAUGUUUCGCUGCAAUUGGGAUUUAUGGCAUUUCAGGGUCUGGGAAGACUACCCUCGCACAACAUCUUUGCAAGUCUAAGAAAGAUAAUGAUUAUUUCGACCUUGUUAUGUGGAUUCAUGUUUCUCAGAGCAUCUCCAGCCGCGCCCCCAACAAGGUCCCCCAGGCGAUUUUUCGGCCGCCGGCGCUAAAAAAUCGGCCCAGUCACGCUCCCAUGGGCCCAUUUUUCGCCGGCUCGGGCCGAAAUUGGUACCGGCGGACCCAACCCGAACCCGGCGCGCUGGGGGGCGCUUGGGAGCGCCGGGCGAAUAUUUUUUGGCGCGAAAGCGCCGUGGGCCAGCCGCGUCAGCGACUCGACUCUCUUCUCGCCGCUUCGUCGUCCUCAUCGCCUCGUUUCCCGCGGCGAAUCAAUGCCAAAGCUGCGCGCGCUGCCGCGCCGGUCAGCCUUCAUUGA